CCGAAGUGAAUCUUUGUAGCUAGAACCUCCAGUAUAUUUCCCCCCAAUCCACUCCAGUCCUUUCCCAGCAGGCUGUCUAAUCCAGUGUGUUGCAUAGCUCAGAUCAUAAGAGACCUGACAGCUGAUGGUCAG